AUUGAACGCUGGCGGCGUGCUUUACACAUGCAAGUCGAACGGUAACAGGCCGCAAGGUGCUGACGAGUGGCGAACGGGUGAGUAAUGCAUCGGAACGUGCCCAGUCGUGGGGGAUAACGCAGCGAAAGCUGCGCUAAUACCGCAUACGAUCUACGGAUGAAAGCGGGGGACCGUAAGGCCUCGCGCGAUUGGAGCGGCCGAUGUCAGAUUAGGUAGUUGGUGGGGUAAAGGCUCACCAAGCCAACGAUCUGUAGCUGGUCUGAGAGGACGACCAGCCACACUGGGACUGAGACACGGCCCAGACUCCUACGGGAGGCAGCAGUGGGGAAUUUUGGACAAUGGGCGCAAGCCUGAUCCAGCAAUGCCGCGUGCAGGAAGAAGGCCUUCGGGUUGUAAACUGCUUUUGUACGGAACGAAAAGGCUCUGGUUAAUACCUGGGGCUCAUGACGGUACCGUAAGAAUAAGCACCGGCUAACUACGUGCCAGCCGCCGCCGUAACAC
rnacentral:rRNA from 1 species